rnacentral:rRNA from 1 species
GACGAACGCUGGCGGCGUGCUUAACACAUGCAAGUCGAACGGAAAGGCCCCCUUGUGGGGUACUCGAGUGGCGAACGGGUGAGUAACACGUGAGUAACCUACCCUUGACUUUGGGAUAACUUCAGGAAACUGGGGCUAAUACCGGAUAGGAGCUCCUGCUGCAUGGUGGGGGUUGGAAAGUUUCGGCGGUUGGGGAUGGGCUCGCGGCUUAUCAGCUUGUUGGUGGGGUAGUGGCUCACCAAGGCUUUGACGGGUAGCCGGCCUGAGAGGGUGACCGGCCACAUUGGGACUGAGAUACGGCCCAGACUCCUACGGGAGGCAGCAGUGGGGAAUAUUGCACAAUGGGCGGAAGCCUGAUGCAGCAGCGCCGCGUGCGGGAUGACGGCCUUCGGGUUGUAAACCGCUUUCGCCUGUGACGAAGCGUGAGUGACGGUAAUGGGUAAAGAAGCACCGGCUAACUACGUG